rnacentral:rRNA from 1 species
GAUUAACGCUAGCGGCAGGCCUAAUACAUGCAAGUCGAGGGGUAACAGGGUAGCAAUACCGCUGACGACCGGCGCACGGGUGAGUAACACGUAUGUAACCUACCUAUAACUGGGGAAUAGCCUUCCGAAAGGAAGAUUAACACCGCAUAACAUCACGAGGCGGCAUCGCUUUGUGAUCAAACCUCCGGGGGUUAUAGAUGGACAUGCGCAACAUUAGCUAGUUGGUGAGGUAACGGCCCACCAAGGCGACGAUGUUUAGGGGGUCUGAGAGG